rnacentral:tRNA from 1 species
GCGGAUGUGGUGGAACGGCAGACACGCUACCUUGAGGGGGUAGUGCUCUUAUGGGCGUGCGGGUUCAAAUCCCGCCAUCCGCACCA